rnacentral:rRNA from 2 species
AAAUGCGUAGAUAUAUGGAAGAACACCAGUGGCGAAGGCGGCUGUCUGGUCUGUAAAUGACGCUGAGGCUCGAAAGUAUGGGUAGCAAACAGGAUUAGAUACCCUGGUAGUCCAUACCGUAAACGAUGAAUGCUAAGUGUUGGAGGGUUUCCGCCCUUCAGUGCUGCAGCUAACGCAGUAAGCAUUCCGCCUGGGGAGUACGGCCGCAAGGCUGAAACUCAAAGGAAUUGACGGGGGACCGCACAAGCGGUGGAGCAUGUGGUUUAAUUCGAAGCUACGCGAAGAACCUUACCAGGUCUUGACAUACUAUGCAAAUCUAAGAGAUUAGACGUUCCCUUCGGGGACAUGGAUACAGGUGGUGCAUGGUUGUCGUCAGCUCGUGUCGUGAGAUGUUGGGUUAAGUCCCGCAACGAGCGCAACCCUUAUUAUCAGUUGCCAGCAUUAAGUUGGGCACUCUGGUGAGACUGCCGGUGUCACACCGGAGGAAGGUGGGGAUGACGUCAAAUCAUCAUGCCCCUUAUGACCUGGGCUACACCCGUGCUCCAAUGGAUGGUACAUCGAGUUGCGAACUCGCGAGAGUAAGCUAAUCUCUUAAAGCCAUUCUCAGUUCGGAUUGUAGGCCGCAACUCGCCUACAUGAAGUCGGAAUCGCUAGUAAUCGCGGAUCAGCAUGCCGCGGUGAAUACGUUCCCGGGCCUUGUACACACCGCCCGUCACACCAUGAGAGUUUGUAACACC